CAACUGACAGUAGAAGAACUAGAAGCUGAUCUGGGGAUUCCAAAAACUUCUGUGUCUGAGAUUUUGAAGCAGGAUAUUAACAUGAUAUGUGUCAUAGCAAAAUUAAUUCCAUGGCUUCUGCUACAAGAGCAAAAGGAACAUUGUGCUGUAGUUGCUAAUGAUUUGAUUCAAACUGCUGCCAGUGAACCAGACUUCCUCAAGAAGGUCAUAACUUUGAAGGAGACUGACACAUCAUUGUCCUAUGUAUAAUGCUUCUUC